ACAAGCGGCGGAGCAUGUGGUUUAAUUCGAAGCAACGCGAGGACCUUACCAGGCCUUGACAUGCAGAGAACUUUCCAGAGAUGGAUUGGUGCCUUCGGGAACUCUGACACAGGUGCUGCAUGGCUGUCGCCUGCUCGUGUCGUGAGAUGUUGGGUUAAGUCCCGUAACGAGCGCAACCCUUGUCCUUAGUUACCAGCACGUUAUGGUGGGCACUCUAAGGAGACUGCCGGUGACAAACCGGAGGAAGGUGGGGAUGACGUCAAGUCAUCAUGGCCCUUACGGCCUGGGCUACACACGUGCUACAAUGGUCGGUACAAAGGGUUGCCAAGCCGCGAGGUGGAGCUAAUCCCAUAAAACCGAUCGUAGUCCGGAUCGCAGUCUGCAACUCGACUGCGUGAAGUCGGAAUCGCUAGUAAUCGUGAAUCAGAAUGUCACGGUGAAUACGUUCCCGGGCCUU
rnacentral:rRNA from 1 species